rnacentral:rRNA from 1 species
AACGAACGCUGGCGGCAUGCCUAACACAUGCCAGUCGAACGAGACCUUCGGGUCUAGUGGCGCACGGGUGCGUAACGCGUGGGAAUCUGCCCUUGGGUUCGGAAUAACAGUUGGAAACGACUGCUAAUACCGGAUGAUGACGUAAGUCCAAAGAUUUAUCGCCCAAGGAUGAGCCCGCGUAGGAUUAGCUAGUUGGUGAGGUAAAGGCUCACCAAGGCGACGAUCCUUAGCUGGUCUGAGAGGAUGAUCAGCCACACUGGGACUGAGACACGGCCCAGACUCCUACGGGAGGCAGCAGUGGGGAAUAUUGGACAAUGGGCGAAAGCCUGAUCCAGCAAUGCAGCGUGAGUGAUGAAGGCCUUAGGGUUGUAAAGCUCUUUUACCCGGGAUGAUAAUGACAGUACCGGGAGAAUAAGCUCCGGCUAACUCCGUG